rnacentral:rRNA from 1 species
GAUGAACGCUGGCGGCGUGCCUAAUACAUGCAAGUCGAGCGAACAGACGAGGAGCUUGCUCCUUCGACGUUAGCGGCGGACGGGUGAGUAACACGUAGGUAACCUACCUAUAAGACUGGGAUAACUUCGGGAAACCGGAGCUAAUACCGGCUAAUAUUUCGAACCGCAUGGUUCGAUAGUGAAAGAUGGCUUUGCUAUCACUUAUAGACGGACCUGCGCCGUAUUAGCUAGUUGGUAAGGUAACGGCUUACCAAGGCAACGAUACGUAGCCGACCUGAGAGGGUGAUCGGCCACACUGGAACUGAGACACGGUCCAGACUCCUACGGGAGGCAGCAGUAGGGAAUCUUCCGCAAUGGGCGAAAGCCUGACGGAGCAACGCCGCGUGAGUGAUGAAGGUCUUCGGAUCGUAAAACUCUGUUAUUAGGGAAGAACAAACGUGUAAGUAACUGUGCACGUCUUGACGGUACCUAAUCAGAAAGCCACGGCUAACUACGUG